rnacentral:rRNA from 1 species
AGCGAACGCUUGUGGCGGGCUUAACACAUGCAAGUCGUGCGCCCCUUCGGGGGAGCGGCGGACGGGUGAGUAACACGUAGGUUACCUGCCCUCUGGUGGGGAACAACCCAGGGAAACCUGGGCUAAUACCGCAUAUGGACCACGGUUCAAAGCCUUCGGGCGCCAGAGGAUGGGCCUGCGUCCCAUUAUUUAAUCCUAGUUGGUAGGGUAACGGCCUACCAAGGGUACGAUGGGUAGCUGGUCUUAGAGGAUGAUCAGCCACACUGGGACUGAGACACGGCCCAGACUCCUACGGGAGGCAGCAGUGGGGAAUAUUGCGCAAUGGGCGAAAGCCUGACGCAGCCACGCCACGUGAGUGAUGAAGGCCCUAGGGUCGUAAAGCUCUGUCGUGAGGGAAGAAGAUCUGACGGUACCUCACAAGAAAGCACCGGCUAACUCCG